rnacentral:rRNA from 1 species
AAUAGAUACCCCGGUAGUCCACGCCGUAAACGGUGGGUACUAGGUGUGGGUUUCCUUCCUUGGGAUCCGUGCCGUAGCUAACGCAUUAAGUACCCCGCCUGGGGAGUACGGCCGCAAGGCUAAAACUCAAAGGAAUUGACGGGGGGCCCGCACAAGCGGCGGAGCAUGUGGAUUAAUCCGAUGCAACGCGAAGAACCUUACCUGGGUUUGACAUGCACAGGACGACUGCAGAGAUGUGGUUUCCCUUGUGGCCUGUGUGCAGGUGGUGCAUGGCUGUCGUCAGCUCGUGUCGUGAGAUGUUGAGUUAAGUCCCGCAACGAGCGCAACCCUUGUCUCGUGUUGCCAGCACGUGAUGGUGGGACUCGUGAGAGACUGCCGGGGUCAACUCGGAGGAAGGUGGGGAUGACGUCAAGUCAUCAUGCCCCUUAUGUCCAGGGCUUCACACAUGCUACAAUGGCCGGUACAAAGGGCGGCGAUGCCGUGAGGCUUAGCGAAUCCUUUAAAGCCGGUCUCAGUUCGGAUCGGGGUCUGC